GCUGCGGAGCUCUGGCCGCCGGAGGCGGGGAGGCCGGGCGUGAGGCGGGGCCCAGGCCCCGAGCAUCCUCCCCCGGCCCCGGGCAGCCCCCGGUCGGGCCCGGCGCGCGCCUGCUUCCCCGGAGGGCGGCCCGGGCUAUGGCUGCCGCGGCCCUGCUAAGCAGGGCGCGUUCCGGUCUGGCACUCGAACUGCUCCCGGGGCCGCCCGCGCCGGCCCGGGCGUGCCCGGAUAUCCAUUUCUAAAGCCUGCUGGGAUCCCCCAUUUUGAGCAGGUGGAAGAGCCACUGAACCUGAAAAUGCAAGGAAAGGGUCCAAGCAUAAUUUGUACUGAGGGUGUGUUGAAGAAUGAAAUGGAAGAUUUUAUUCUGAAGGAGGACAUUUUUGAGGAGGUACAGCUAUCAAGUGGACCUGGUGGUUUGGCCCACAGGAGUUUUGGUUUGGAAAAACCUGUGAGGAGGAGAUAAGUAGGUUCAGGAGAUUGCCUUACUAUCCUAGUGGGGGAAGUGUGAAGAAAACUAGAAAUGAUGUUAUAGAAGUGAUUGUCAAAGAUGAGAUGAUAUCAGGAGAAGACAGUUCAGAGAACAUUGACCCCCACCUUAUUAUACAUCAGAAAAUUCUAAGUGAACAGGUAUCCAAUAUAUGUGAAGAAUGUGGCAUGGGUUUUGAUCAAAAUGAAGACUUUGAUCAACAUCAGAGAAUUCUAAAUGGAGAGAAGGUCUAUGGAUGUAAGGAAUGUGGGAAGACUUUUAAUUUUCGCUCACAGUGCAUUGCACAUCAGAGAAUUCACACUGGCGUAAAACCCUAUGUAUGUCAAGAAUGUGCUAAAGCUUUCAUUUGGAAGUCAAACCUAAUUCGACACCAGAGAAUACAUACUGGAGAGAAACCCUUUGAAUGUAAGGAAUGUGGGAAGGGUUUUAGUCAGAACACAAGCCUUACACAUCAGUGAAUCCACACUGGGGAGAAACCAUAUAUGUGUAAGGAAUGUGGAAAAUGCUUUACCAGGAACCCAACCCUUCUUCAACAUCAGAGAAUCCACACAGGUGAAGCCUUAUGAAUGUAAGGACUGUGAGAAAGGCUUCAUGUGGAACUCAGAUCUUGCUCAGCACCAGAAGGUCCAUACUGGGGAGAAAUCUCAUGAAUGUACUGACUGUAGAAAAAGCUUCAUUUGCAAGGCACACCUUAUCCGGCAUCAGAGAAUCCAUACAGGGGAAAGACCCUAUAAAUGUAAUGACUGUGGGAAGGUAUUCAGUCAGAAUUCUGUUUUGAUUAAACACCAGAGGUGCCAUGCUAGAGAAAAACCCUGUAACUGUCAGACUUCUCACCUUGAACCUUAGAGAGUACUUAGUGGGGAUAUUUCAUUAUAAUUCUUAUGCUACAACACAAAAUAAGAUGACCUUCCACAAUUUGUAACUCUAAUAGCCAGUAUUAUUUUGCCCCUUUUCCUACAUAGAUAACCAGAUAGCCAGACUGGUCCAAAGGUUCAACUGUGUUCAUAAUGGUGACAUUUAUUUGAGCACCUACUCUGUGUCAGGUACUAUGCUAACCACUCAUACACAUUCUUUAAUUUUCUUAAUCCCAUUAAGGUAGGCGCUCUUAUCCCCAUUUUACAAAUGAAAAUUCUGAGAUUGAAAGAGAUUAUCAAAUACUCAUUCAGGGUCACCCAGCAAGUAAAUUGGUAGAGUUGAGAUUAGAACUAAGCCUAUCUGAUUCCAGAGUCUACUGUUCUUUAUUUGUGCAUAUUUCUGCUUCUGCCUAUUUUUAUCUGCUCAAAUUUCCCUUCCUCAUCUAAGACCUAGCUCUUCCACCUGAA